UACGGAGGGUGCAAGCGUUAUCCGGAUUCACUGGGUUUAAAUGGUGCGUAGGCGGCUAAAUAAGUCAGUGGUGAAAGCCCGCAGCUCAACUGUGGAAUUGCCAUUGAAACUGUCUAGCUUGAAUCUGGUUGAAGUGGGCGGAAUACAUCAUGUAGCGGUGAAAUGCUUAGAUAUGAUGUAGAACACCGAUUGCGAAGGCAGCUCACUAAGCCAACAUUGACGCUGAGGCACGAAAGCGUGGGUAGCGAACAGG
rnacentral:rRNA from 1 species